GCACACUAGUUAACAAAUUCAUAGUUAAUUAUUAUUUAAAUAUUGAUUAUAAAUCCUGUUUCCUAGGUUUUUUGAAUUUUGUUCGAUAAAUGUUGUUUAAUGUAACUCACUUUGUCUUUCUUAUUGACUACACCUUGACCUGAUUUGUGAAAUAGUUGUUGUGGUUAUUUUUAUGGAGAUAACCUUAAAACGGCGGUAUGUAAGUUUUAAAGAAAGUGAAACUUAGCGGGGAGUGUCGAUUAAAAAGCAAGUUCCUCUAUAUAGAACAAGUGCCGCCAAACUACAUAGGUUUCGUUGUUUACUACUACCUAGUAAAGAGCAAA
rnacentral:rRNA from 1 species